GACGAACGCUGGCGGCGUGCCUAAUACAUGCAAGUCGAACGCUGAAGGAGGAGCUUGCUCUUCUGGAUGAGUUGCGAACGGGUGAGUAACGCGUAGGUAACCUGCCUGGUAGCGGGGGAUAACUAUUGGAAACGAUAGCUAAUACCGCAUAACAGUAGAUGUUGCAUGACAUUUGCUUAAAAGGUGCAAUUGCACCACUACCAGAUGGACCUGCGUUGUAUUAGCUAGUUGGUGGGGUAACGGCUCACCAAGGCGACGAUACAUAGCCGACCUGAGAGGGGGAUCGGCCACACUGGGACUGAGACACGGCCCAGACUCCUACGGGAGGCAGCAGUAGGGAAUCUUCGGCAAUGGACGGAAGUCUGACCGAGCAACGCCGCGUGAGUGAAGAAGGUUUUCGGAUCGUAAAGCUCUGUUGUAAGAGAAGAACGAGUGUGAGAGUGGAAAGUUCACACUGUGACGGUAUCUUACCAGAAAGGGACGGCUAACUACGUG
rnacentral:rRNA from 1 species